rnacentral:rRNA from 1 species
UACGGGGGGAGCAAGCGUUGUUCGGAUUUACUGGGCGUAAAGGGCGCGUAGGCGGCCCGGUAAGUAGGGGGUGAAAUCUUGCGGCUCAACCGCAAGGCUGCCUUCUAAACUGCCAGGCUCGAGCACAGUAGAGGCAGGUGGAAUUCCCGGUGUAGCGGUGGAAUGCGUAGAGAUCGGGAAGAACAUCGGUGGCGAAGGCGGCCUGCUGGGCUGUUGCUGACGCUGAGGCGCGACAGCGUGGGGAGCAAACAGG